GACGUAGGGCGCGAGCGUUUGUCCGGAAUCACUGGGCGUAGAGCGCACGUAGGCGGGUUGCUAAGUCAGGGGUGAAAUCCUGGAGCUCAACUCCAGAACUGCCUUUGAUACUGGCGGCCUCGAGUCCGGGAGAGGUGAGUGGAACUGCGAGUGUAGAGGUGAAAUUCGUAGAUAUUCGCAAGAACACCAGUGGCGAAGGCGGCUCACUGGCCCGGUACUGACGCUGAGGUGCGAAAGCGUGGGGAGCAAACAGG
rnacentral:rRNA from 1 species